rnacentral:rRNA from 1 species
CAGCCGCCGCGGUAAUACCUGCAGCCCAAGUGGUGGUCGAUUUUAUUGAGUCUAAAACGUUCGUAGCCGGUUCGGUAAAUCUUUGGGUAAAUCGGGAAGCUCAACUUUCCGACUUCCGAAGAGACUGCCGAACUUGGGACCGGGAGAGGCUAGAGGUACUUCUGGGGUAGGGGUAAAAUCCUGUAAUCCUAGAAGGACCACCGGUGGCGAAGGCGUUUAGCUAGAACGGAUCCGACGGUGAGGGACGAAGCCCUGGGUCGCAAACGGGAUUAGAUACCCCGGUAGCCCAGGGUGUAAACGCUGCAGACUUGGUGUUGGAGGCAAUUCGGUUGCAUUCAGUGCCGGAGAGAAGUUGUUAAGUCUGCUACUUGGGGAGUACGUCCGCAAGGAUGAAACUUAAAGGAAUUGGCGG